UACGUAGGGUGCAAGCGUUAAUCGGAAUUACUGGGCGUAAAGCGUGCGCAGGCGGUUGUGCAAGACAGAUGUGAAAUCCCCGGGCUCAACCUGGGAAUUGCAUUUGUGACUGCACGGCUAGAGUGUGUCAGAGGGGGGUAGAAUUCCACGUGUGAGCAGUGAAAUGCGUAGAGAUGUGGAGGAACACCGAUGGCGAAGGCAGCCCCCUGGGUCAAGAUUGACGCUCAUGCACGAAAGCGUGGGGAGCAAACAGG
rnacentral:rRNA from 1 species